rnacentral:rRNA from 1 species
UGGGGAAUAUUAGGCAAUGGGGCGAAAGCCUGACCUAGCAACGCCGCGUGAGGGAAGAAGGUCUUCGGAUUGUAAACCUCUGUCCUUGGUGAAGAACACAAUGACAUUAGCCAAGGGAGAAAGCUCCGGCUAACUACGUGCCAGCAGCCGCGGUAAUACGUAGGGAGCGAGCGUUGUCCGGAAUGACUGGGCGUAAAGGGUGUGUAGGCGGUUUUACAAGUUAGAUGUGAAAUACCCAGGGCUUAACUCGGGUGCUGCAUCUAAGACUGUAAGACUUGAGUGUCGGAGAGGUAAAUGGAAUUCCUAGUGUAGCGGUGGAAUGCGUAGAUAUUAGGAGGAACACCAGUGGCGAAGGCGAUUUACUGGACGAUAACUGACGCUGAGGCACGAAAGCGUGGGGAGCAAACAGGAUUAGAUACCCUGGUAGU